UGUUAAAAAAUUUCACCUCAUUGUACUGUUAAAAAUUAGCUUGGCAAUAAUCGGAUAACGACAUAGGACAUGUUACAUUUAUCUCGUGCUAACAUACAGGGAUCAGUUUUUUAAUGGAACAAAGGGAUAAAAUUUUUAACA
rnacentral:pre_miRNA from 1 species